GAUGAACGCUAGCGGCAGGCCUAACACAUGCAAGUCGAGGGGUAGAGGUUCUUCGGAGCCUUGAGACCGGCGCACGGGUGCGUAACGCGUAUGCAAUCUACCUUGUACAGGGGGAUAGCCCAGAGAAAUUUGGAUUAAUACCCCAUGGUGUAUUAUAGUGGCAUCAUUUAAAUACUAAAGUUCCAACGGUACAAGAUGAGCAUGCGUCCCAUUAGUUAGUUGGUAAGGUAACGGCUUACCAAGACGAUGAUGGGUAGGGGUCCUGAGAGGGAGAUCCCCCACACUGGUACUGAGACACGGGACCAGACUCCUACGGGAGGCAGCAGUGAGGAAUAUUGCACGAUGGGGGAAACCCUGAUGCAGCGACGCCGCGUGAGCGAAGAAGUAUUUCGGUAUGUAAAGCUCUAUCAGCAGGGAAGAAAAUGACGGUACCUGACUAAGAAGCACCGGCUAAAUACGUG
rnacentral:rRNA from 1 species